AGGUACCAAUAAUGGUUUAAUAGGGAAUUCGUUUAACGAAACUGUCCCCGCAACUGUAAGCAUGGAUAAUCAAUAUAGAUAUACCACUGUUGAAACGGGAAGGUAAUAUUGAUUAAGUGAAAUGCGAAGUCAGGAGACCUGCCUUUAUUCG
rnacentral:ncRNA from 1 species